CAAUGCUCCGGCAAUACCCCAACCGAGCCGUUGGGGGAUCACGCGGUCCCCGUGCUGGGCAGAUGGGGACAGGACGCGGGGAUGGGAUGGGACAGCGGGAGCCCCGUGCACAGAGCUGAGGGGAAAUCCUCCUGCAAGCACUGCAGCUCUGGUCGGCAGCACCUGGGAAUUCGAUGCUAGCAGCGCAGAGCCCAUGGGGCGCUCACAGCCCCCCGUACGACACCCAGGGCAGCAGACGUCUCUUCUGAGUUGAUUUCUCCCCUUUUCUGCAAACAGCACUGGAAAGAAUCUGGUACUGGAGGAGCAGGAAGCCCCAGGAUGGAUGGUUGGAUGGAUGGUUGGAUGGAUGGAGAAUGAAAGGCUGUCUCUUCUCCAGCUAUCUGCUUUGUAUCACAAGGAAGAGGUCAUUCACAUCAUUGUUCUUUUCCAUUCAGCAUUUGCACAACGCAUCCAGCUUCCCAAUGAGCUGUGAGGACGUCACUGUUUGCAAACUACAAUCCAAUACUGGCAUCUUUUGCAAACACCCAUUUCAUUCCCCAAAUGGCAUUAAAAAUCAUGACAUUAUUGGAGAGUUCAGUGGAGCUCAUAGCACGCACACGGAUGUUUUCCCAACUUACUCACAAACUGGAGAAAAUUCUUAAUUACUCCAUAGCAGCAGACAUCAUCUGUUAACAGGCUAAAAAUAACCAGUCCUAAACAGAAACAAACGUGCUUAUUUGAUCAUCAUGACAUUAAGGUCAGUCCCUAUCCUGCCCGGCUCUUUGUCAUCCAACCUUGCAGAAGACAAACGUGCCUACAGAUUGUUGUGAUUGCAGCCAUCCAUGUGCAGUCAGCAGUUGGGCAAUGCUGGGAGGCACUGCUGCAAGGCAUCCAGAGCUCGUUUCAAGGCCAUGAACCCCAGCCAGCAUCCCCCAUUGCCAUCAUCCUGAGCAGGAGAUGCAGCUCCUGAGCCUUGAAGUCCAAGUGCUUGCUUAGGAGCUGAUACAAAAGGGAGGGAGGUGCAGAGCUAGCACGCACGGCUGAAUUUCCUAGAAGCCUUCUCCAGGAAUUUUGCUGUCAGCUCAUCGCUAUUUGCGGAUGUUCACAGAAGACAGAUAGCAGCAACCAUCGUGGGGCAGGAAAGCACAGUCUGGAUUCCAUCCUGACCGCAGUGGCUGCAUCACCACCAGGUACAGCUGUCUGCCUGCUGCCGCCCUCAGCCCAGUUAACUUCAGAGAGAUCACCGUGGAGGGAUGUGCUGCAAUGGAAGCAGUGGUUUUAUUUCAUAAAAAGCAAAUAUUUUGGGAAAGCUUCCAAGGCAGCUA
ensembl:lncRNA